GUGGGGAAUUUUGGACAAUGGGCGCAAGCCUGAUCCAGCAAUGCCGCGUGCAGGAAGAAGGCCUUCGGGUUGUAAACUGCUUUUGUACGGAACGAAAAGGCUCUGGUUAAUACCUGGGGCUCAUGACGGUACCGUAAGAAUAAGCACCGGCUAACUACGUGCCAGCAGCCGCGGUAAUACGUAGGGUGCAAGCGUUAAUCGGAAUUACUGGGCGUAAAGCGUGCGCAGGCGGUUUUGUAAGACAGACGUGAAAUCCCCGGGCUCAACCUGGGAAUGGCGCUUGUGACUGCAAGGCUGGAGUGCGGCAGAGGGGGAUGGAAUUCCGCGUGUAGCAGUGAAAUGCGUAGAUAUGCGGAGGAACACCGAUGGCGAAGGCAAUCCCCUGGGCCUGCACUGACGCUCAUGCACGAAAGCGUGGGGAGCAAACAGGAUUAGAAACCCUGGUAGUCC
rnacentral:rRNA from 1 species